rnacentral:rRNA from 1 species
GUGGGGAAUAUUGGACAAUGGGCGAAAGCCUGAUCCAGCCAUGCCGCGUGUGUGAAGAAGGUCUUCGGAUUGUAAAGCACUUUAAGUUGGGAGGAAGGGCAGUAAGUUAAUACCUUGCUGUUUUGACGUUACCGACAGAAUACGCACCGGCUAACUUCGUGCCAGCAGCCGCGGUAAUACGAAGGGUGCAAGCGUUAAUCGGAAUUACUGGGCGUAAAGCGCGCGUAGGUGGUUUUGUAAGUUGGAGGUGAAAUCCCCGGGCUCAACCUGGGAACUGCCUGCAAAACGGCAUGACUAGAGUACGGUAGAGGGUAGUGGAAUGUCCUGUGUAGCGGUGAAAUGCUUAGAUAUAGGAAGGAACACCAGUGGCGAAGGCGACUACCUGGACUGAUACGGACACUGAGGUGCGAAAGCGUGGGGGGCAAACAGGAAUAGAAACCCGGGUAGUCC